CUGGAAACGGAGAACAAAUCCCGAUGUACAGGAAGGAGGCAUCUUCUUUCUGUGAAACAUCCUUUAGGGGAUGGGGCGCGGAUGGACCUGCGGUGCAUUAGUUGGUUGGCGGGGUAAAGGCCCACCAAGACGAUGAUGCAUAGCCGGCCUGAGAGGGCGGACGGCCACAUUGGGACUGAGACACGGCCCAGACUCCUGCGGGAGGCAGCAGUAGGGAAUUUUCGUCAAUGGGCGCAAGCCUGAACGAGCGAUGCCGCGUGAGUGAAGAAGGCCUUCGGGUCGUAAAGCUCUGUUGCGGGGGAAAAAAGGCAGCAUCAGGAAAUGGGUGCUGACUGAUGGUGCCCCGCCAGAAAGUCACGGCUAACUACGUGCCAGCAGCCGCGGUAAUACGUAGGUGGCGAGCGUUAUCCGGAAUGAUUGGGCGUAAAGGGUGCGCAGGCGGUCCUGCAAGUCUGGAGUGAAGCGCAUGAGCUCAACUCAUGCAUGGCUUUGGAAACUGGAGGACUGGAGAGCAGGAGAGGGCGGUGGAACUCCAUGUGUAGCGGUAAAAUGCGUAGAUAUAUGGAAGAACACCAGUGGCGAAGGCGGCCGCCUGGCCUGUUGCUGACGCUGAGGCACGAAAGCGUGGGGAGCAAAUAGGAUUAGAUACCCUAGUAGUCCACGCCGUAAACGAUGAGGACCAAGUGUUGGGG
rnacentral:rRNA from 1 species